rnacentral:rRNA from 1 species
UACGGUGGAUACCUAGGCACCCAGAGACGAAGAAGGGCGUGGAAACCUACGAAAUGCUCCGAGGAGCUGGAAACAAGCUUUGAUCCGGAGAUCCCCGAAUAGGGCAACCUCUAGAACUGCCUAUUGAAUUCAUAGAUAGGAGAGAGACAACCCGGUGAAUUGAAACAUCUUAGUAGCCGGAGGAAAAGAAAGCAAAAGCGAUUCCCUGAGUAGCGGCGAGCGAAACGGGAUCAGCCUAAACCGAUCCUACAUGUAGGGUCGGGGUCGUGGGAGGAAAUAGCCCCGUUCAACGAGUUGUAGGUAUUGCUUUGCAUGGGUUGGGGGAGUUGGGGGGCAAAGCCCCCCACCACCUCCUCCAUCCCCUGCCCCCAAAGCCCCUAACUCGUUGACGAGAAUGGCGGUAUGCACGCAUCAACGUUUCUACUUGGCUUAAAUGCAUCGCAAAGCGAUGCCAGACUAAGUGUAGAUUCGCUUGUGAUAUGUGACUUGCCUAGACGAAGCAGCUGAAUCCUGCACCAAAGAUGGUGAAAGUCCAGUAGUCGAAAGGCCAGUUGCUGUGUUAUUGGUAUGGAAGUUGUCUGAUUCAAUGGUCUUUAGAGACUUUUGAAGCCUAGACACUGAUAUCUGUUUCUUAUCCCGAGUAGCAUGGGACACGUGAAACCCCGUGUGAAUCAGCGAGGACCACCUCGUAAGGCUAAAUACUCCUGGGUGACCGAUAGUGAAGAAGUACCGUGAGGGAAAGGUGAAAGAGAACCCCUGAAGGGGAGUGAAAUAGCGCAUGAAACCGUAAUCUGACAAGCAGUGGGAGGGGCAUUAGCCCUGACCGCGUGCCUGUGGAAGAAUGAGCCGGCGACUUAUAGGGGAUGGCAAGGUUAAGGAGUUUCUCCGAAGCCAAAGCGAAAGCAAGUCUUAAUAGGGCGAUAAUAGGUCACUCCUUAUGGACCCGAACCCGGGUGAUCUAACCAUGGCCAGGAUGAAGCUUGGGUAACACCAAGUGGAAGUCCGAACUCAUCGAUGUUGAAAAAUCGUGGGAUGAGCUGUGGUUAGGGGAGAAAUUCCAAUCGAACUCGGAGCUAGCUGGUUCUCCCCGAAAUGCGUUGAGGCGCAGCGGUUGACGAGCCAUGAGCUGUCUAGGGGUAAAGCACUGUAUCGGUGCGGGCUGCGAGAGCGGUACCAAAUCGUAGCAAACUAAGAAUACUAGGCAUGUCUUUCCGUCAACCAGUGAGACAGUGGGGGAUAAGCUCCAUUGUCAAGAGGGAAACAGCCCAGAUCACCAGCUAAGGCCCCUGAAUGAUCGCUAAGUGGAAAAGGAGGUGAGAAUGCCGAAACAGCCAGAAGGUUUGCUUAGAAGCAGCCAUCCUUUAAAGAGUGCGUAAUAGCUCACUGGUGGAGCGUUCUUGCGCCGAAAAUUUACGGGACUAAGCGAUCUGCCGAAGCUGUGGGAUACCGGCAUAAAGAGCUGGUAUCGGUAGGGGAGCGUUCCGCCUUAGGGUGAAGCAUUGGUGUAAACCGGUGUGGACGAAGCGGAAGUGAGAAUGUCGGCUUGAGUAACGCAAACAUUGGUGAGAAUCCAAUGCCCCGAAAACCUAAGGGUUCCUUCACUAGGUUCGUCCAUGGAGGGUUAGUCGGGUCCUAAGGCUAGGCCGAAAGGCGUCGUCGAUGGGAAACAGGUUAACAUUCCUGUACUUCUUCUUGGUUGGCACCGAGGGACGAAGGAGGCACGAGGUGACCAAAAUUGGAUUUUGGUGGAAAUGGCUGAGGCGAGGAGAGAUAGAAGAGAAACUAUUCUUGAGCUGAACCAUGAUACGGCCCCAUUCUAAGCUGCAACCUCCGGGGAGCGGGUUUGUGGGGUUCACUUUUCUCUGUCAAACUUCCUAGAAAAGCUCGAACUGCUUCAACACCAAGAAGGACCCGUACCCGAAACCGACACAGGUAGGUGGGUAGAGAAUACCUAGGGGCGCGAGACAACUCUCUCUAAGGAACUCGGCAAAAUGGCCCCGUAACUUCGGGAGAAGGGGUGCCCCCGCAAGGGGGCCGCAGUGACCAGGCCCAGGCGACUGUUUACCAAAAACACAGGUCUCCGCUACGUCGUAAGACAAGAUAUGGGGGCUGACGCCUGCCCGGUGCCGGAAGGUGAAGGGAGUUGGUUAUUCUUCGGAAGAAGCUGGCGACCGAAGCCCCGGUGAACGGCGGCCGUAACUAUAACGGUCCUAAGGUUAAGAGAGCUCAGCUGUUCUUACAGAAUCGCUAGCCUUAGUAAAACCAAACUAUAUGCUGGAAACUCCUCAACAGCUUCACAGUACUCGUGGGGUUCAAAACCUUAUCCUCAGCACCGUAUAGCGAUGGCCUUCCUUAAAGGCCAGCUGUAAGGGGGGAGAGAGAUGCGCCACCGCAGUAAAAAUCUGGAAGACAAGGGGACAAUCAGCAGGGAAGAUCAGCGGCUGUGGGGUGUGGAGGAGGGUGUGGGGGAGGUUCCCUCCCCCAACUCCCCCAACUGCCCCCCCACAACCGCUGGAACCCUCAGAGACUAUACGUUUGGGGGAUUGAGUCGCACUCAAUUUCAAAGAAAUUGAUUGAAUUAGAGGAGCCAUGAACCUAGAUCCACAAUGGAUUGUGGGAUUCGUAGAUGGCGAGGGAUGCUUCUUCGUAGGCAUCAACUGGCAACCCACCAUGAAGGUAGGGUUCCAGGUCCUGCCAGAGUUCGUUGUUGUUCAACACGUCCACGACGUGCAGCUGCUACACGCCCUUAAGGCGAAAUUCGGCUGUGGGUCGGUGGUACGGAACCAUGGCGAUCGAUGGGGGUACAGGGUAAGAGGACACGACAAUCUGAUGGCCAACAUCCUUCCCUUUUUCGAGAAGCACAAGUUGAAAUCGAAAAAACGGCAGGAGUUUGAGAGCUUCAGGAGGGUGAUCCUCAUGAUGGAAGAGAAGAAGCACCUUACCCUCGAAGGGCUCGAAGAAAUACGAACCAUCGUCGGGCGAAUGAAUACCGUCCGGCCGUUUGGCUUUGAGCCCAGCAAUCCCAAGAUAGAGUCCAGCCCCGGUUGAAAGGUCGGGGAUGAACUGAGCGAAAUUCCUUGUCGGGUAAGUUCCGACCCGCACGAAAGGCGUAACGAUCUGGGCACUGUCUCAGAGAGAGACUCGGUGAAAUAGACAUGUCCGUGAAGAUGCGGACUUCCUACACCUGGACAGAAAGACCCUAUGAAGCUUUACUGUAACCUGGAAUUGGGUUUGGGCCCCUUUUGCGCAGCCUAGGUGGGAGGCUAUGAAAGCUCUCUUCCGGGAAAGCUGGAGCCAUCAGUGAGAGACCACUCUGGAGGGGCUAGAAUUCUAAUGGUGCUCCUUGAAACAGGACACUUGACAGUUUCAGGUGGACAGUUUGACUGGGGCGGUCACCUUAAUAUGGGGCUCACGGGCAGCAAUGUACGUGGAAGCAUCUGGCUAUAUGCUGGGACCUCCGUUCUCUAAACUCAACAACAACCGUUGCCGUUGUGGGUUGAAGGGAUGAAGCAUCCAAGGGUACAGAACCAGCCGUGCAUCCCUUGUAUCCCUUACACCCCCUUGCACCCCCUUUAAGGGGGUGCAUGGGGGUGUAAGGGGCACACAGGAUGCAAGAGGUAAAUGUAACGAUCCCUUGGUGCGGACAAUCAGCAGGGAAGUUGCACACGUGCAACCCCUCAACGACUACACGCCGGACAUCCAGACAAGUGCUGGAUGAUGAUAGAGUCUGAACUGGUGGGCGACCAUCAGCCGCGUGUGCUGCCACUUCUUACAAUAAGAAGGUACAGCACAAAUAAGACGGAAUCUCAAAACACAUGCCAAGACAGCCAACCAAGGUUUCCAUAACAAGACAGCAGAAAGAGAUCCUCUUAGGGAUCUUGCUGGGGGAUGCCCACAUGGAGGUUUCGCCAAAUAGGAAAUCCGCAAGGCUUAAGAUUGAGCAAGCUUCCAAAAAGCGAGACUACGUAGAGCAUUUACAUCAGGUCUUCAGUGACUGGUCCCCUGGAAACAUAGUAGCUGCAACCAAUUCCAACAACAUUAAGUUUUCCACAGCGUUCUCCACAUCCUUACUCUUCUAUCAUUCUGCAUUCUAUGGUGAAGAAGGCCGCAAGGUACCACGAUGGAUAGAGCACUCCUUUACCGCGCGGUCGCUGGCCUACCUGAUCAUGGAUGACGGUGGAACGAAGUCUAAGGAAUCGAAAGCUAUCUACAUCAACGUGUAUGGCUUGCCGAGGAGGGAGCAAGAGUCGCUGUGUGGGAUACUGAUAAGAAAGUUUGGUCUUCGGGCGAAGGUGGUGAAGGAUCGGCAGUACUGCCGCAUUUUUAUCUCUGGUUACAGCUAUGAGGACUUGGUUGCAUUGAUUAAUCCUUACAUCCUGUUAUCGUUAAGGUACAAGAUACCACCACCCCGGAAGGGAGGCGUCAGCAGGGGUAAAGACAAGAAUUUGGAUGAGACAACAGAAUUGCCUAAAAGGUAACGGAGGUGUGCAAAGGUUCCCUCAGGCUGGACGGAAAUCAGCCGUAGAGUGUAAAGGCAUAAGGGAGCUUGACUGCAAGACCUACAAGUCGAGCAGGGGCGAAAGCCGGCCUUAGUGAUCCGACGGUGCCGAGUGGAAGGGCCGUCGCUCAACGGAUAAAAGUUACUCUAGGGAUGAAACGUUGUCCCGCUUGGUGGCAACACCAAGGCAAGAAACUGGGUGAAUUGCAAGGAUAGCUAACCUUACACGGCUCUCAUGCCGAGUAAGUAUGCCAAUUUGCAGCGAAGAUCGCUGAAUCAUAACGCUGUUCUACGUGGUUGUAGAUAGUGUGUAGGCGGUACCGUUCAACGACUAGGGAGUGCGGAUAUGAAACCUAUAAUCUCCCCACGAGUGCCCAGCAACUCAAAGUGCAACAACAACUGCACUGUUUUCCUUUUUUACCCAGGAUGAGCCGUCUUGUAAACCUUUUAGGUUGUAUCAGCCUGCUUUUCUGCUUUGUUCUUUUUUUAGGAAAAAGAGUUGAUGACAUAGUCUGAACUCAUAAGAAAUUAUGAGAUGUAAGGGAUAAAGAGCCUUUACGGUAACACAAUGAACAGGCUGAUCUUCCCCAAGAGUUCACAUCGACGGGAAGGUUUGGCACCUCAAAUCGGGGUCUGGGCCCAGCAAUGGGCCCAUGGCAAUUUGGCUAUAUGCUGGGACAUCCGGGUAUCUCCCUAGACCCCCCCACCCCCAUCAGAAAGGGGAUGGGCAUGGUGAAACCAAGGGAGUGCGGAUAAUCAGCAGGGAAGUCGUGCAAAGCAACCAGCGAGGUUGCAGGCGCAACCCCUCAACGACUACACGCCAAACAUCCGUGCCCCAGAACGGGGCCAAGGAUGAUGAUAUAGUCUGAUCUCCCAGGCGACUGGGAGGUGGCGCUGCCUGUGGAAGCUGGGCCUGAGAUUGAGGUCUUCGAACUCCCAUCCGGGAUGGCACUCAAUACUAUCAGCUGGCAGACGCCGCGUUAAACAAGGUUGAACAUGGCACAGAGGUUAACAUUGGAACAGCGAGAGGUCCUGGUUGGAAUUCUACUAGGGGAUGCAAACCUUCAGACAGAGAGCAAUGGUAGGACAUAUAGGCUAAGGGUAACGCAGGCUGAACAGAACAAGGAUUACUUGUUUGCGCUCUAUGAGCUGUUCAAGCCGCUUGUCAACACGCCGCCAAAGCUGUACAUCUACAGCUCCGACAAACGAACGAACAAUAUUUCGAAGCGGUGGGCCUUCGCCACUACACAGCACAGCUGCUUCCGUUUUUAUGGAAAACAGUUCUACGUAGAUGGAAAGAAGAGGGUUCCACCAAUCAUUGACAAGUGGUUGACGCCCCGCAGCUUGGCAUAUUGGUACAUGGAUGACGGUGCACAGAAGUGGAAGGGCCGAUCUUUAGGAGUGCGGCUCUGCACGGAUGGAUUUGAAUCAGACGAGGUGCGCAAGUUGGCAGCGAUCUUGGCGGCAAAGUACGACCUGAAGACUUCCCUCCAAGCGAAGAGCAACGGACUUCGGAUCUACAUAAGCAGCAUCUCCUACGAUAACCUCCGGCGCGUCAUCUAUCCCCACCUGUUGCCCUCUAUGCGGUACAAGUUCCCAGUGCCUGUUGCAACCACCCCCUCUGAUGGGGGGGCAAAGGUUUAAUUAACAUUAUUGCGAUGUCGGCUCAUCGCAACCUGGGGCGGUAGUACGUCCCAAGGGUUGGGCUGUUCGCCCAUGAAAGCGGUACGUGAGCUGGGUUCAGAACGUAAACAUCACUGCGUUUCUCACUAGUAAUAGUUGAGAUAGUAUCGGCUUAUAUCGGUGAAACCUUCAUCAGCAAAAAAAGUUGAGAUUAUUGACAUUUCUGUCAAAUCUCAAAGACCAGAACUGGCUGAUAUGGCAAUACCGAGGGAAGGUUUGAAGAGGUUUCAUAAGUAAUGGAUUUCGAGUUAAAGAUGGCUUGGCUUGCAGGAUUUAUAGAUGGCGAUGGCUGUAUAAGCGCUCAAAUUAUACCUAGGCAUGAUUAUAAGCUGAAGUAUCAAGUGCGGGUCACUCUCACUGUGUUUCAACGGACAGAGAGGCAUCACAUCCUUCUAUACAUUCAAGACCUCCUGAACUCCGGGGUUGUUCGGAAGCGGAACGAUGGGAUGUCCGAAUUCUGUCUCACUGGAGGAGGAGAGGUUGCUAGAGUUGUGCGCCUGCUGUUACCCCAUCUAAAGCUCAAGCACCGACAGGCGAAUCUUGUCUUGCAAAUCAUUGAGAAGUUACCACAGACUAAAGACGUCUCGAUUCUUUUAGAGGCAUGUGCUCUUGCUGACGAGAUUGGAUCGUUGACGGACGGAAAGAGACGUACGCAAUAUUCUGAGCAGGUUCGAGAGACAUUGCGCUCUCUUGGGCUCUACUCCUUGGCUGAAGGCAAAUAGGCGUCUUUGUGUCUAAAGCUGGAGAUUUCAUUCCCUAUAAAUUAGGGAAGGAAGAAGAUCUCAGCAAUUCCUCGUUAUUGGGCUCUUAUCCCGAUUAUUCAAAUCCCCGUAGAGACUUUGAGGUGUAAUGGAGGUUUCCAUCAGUUGACAGAAAUCCAAACCGUUGAGCUUUUAGCUCGAUGUGGAAAGACGGAUACGCAUCUCAAGAUAGCAACCUGUUUAGGUUGGUAUAACACGCCGACUCCUAGGAGGCAGUUUUGCCCCGCUAGGAUGAAGAUAUAGUCCAUGCCCUAUGGAAACAUAGGGAUUAAUCCUUGACAGAAAUGUCAAUCAAAAGUCGGAAUACCAUUCCGACCGAAGGAUUCACCAUGCGUGAGACAGUUCGGUCCAUAUCCGGUGUAGGCGCUAGAGCAUUGCGAGAAGCCUUCCAUAGUACGAGAGGACCUGGAAGGACACACCUCUGGUAUACCAGUUCUCCUGCCAAGGGGACACGCUGGGUAGCUAUGUGUGGAGCGGAUAACUGCUGAAAGCAUCUAAGUAGGAAGCCCAUCUCAAGAUGAGUGCUCUCUGCCUCGACUCUGUCGAGGCUAUGGGUCACAGCAAGACAAGCUGUUUGAUAGGUGUCAAGUGUAAGGCCAGCAAUGGUUGUAGCUGAGGCAUACUAACAGACCCAUCGAGUUUGACCUCGUUGAGUCCGUUGUC